rfam:Octopus bimaculoides Scaffold26160_contig_1, whole genome shotgun sequence.
GGAAGUUUAGCUUAAUCGGUCAAAGCAUCGUGACAUUUAAUCACGCGGAUGUGAGUUCGAGUCCACAGCUAGCCA